UUUCAUGAUUUUCUAUAUUGUUUUAUGACAUCAUGCACUGUUUCAUAACUUUAUGUGCUGCUUUAUGACUUCCGACGCUGUUUUAUAAUCUCCGACAUUACUUCAGGACAUCCUACACUAUUUUAUGAUUUUCUUCACUAAUUUAUGAUAUCUCAUAUUAUUUUAUGAUAUUUUAUAUUAUUUUAUUACUUUCUAUACUAUUUCAUGACUUUCGAUGCUGCCAGUAUUUUAUAUAUGGG
rnacentral:lncRNA from 1 species